GACGUAGGGCGCGAGCGUUGUCCGGAUUUAUUGGGCGUAAAGGGCUCGUAGGCGGUUUGUCGCGUCGGGAGUGAAAACCUUGGGCUUAACUCAGGGCUUGCUUUCGAUACGGGCAGACUAGAGGUAUGCAGGGGAGAACGGAAUUCCUGGUGUAGCGGUGAAAUGCGUAGAUAUCUGGAGGAAUACCGGUGGCGAAGGCGGCAUCCUGGACCGACAUUGACGCUGAACGGCGAAGCUA
rnacentral:rRNA from 1 species